CACAACUCUCACCGUGAACUAUAUAAAAAAACGAACGCAUCGUUAGAAAACAGAAGAUCUGGCGUCAUGUUCACUCAACAAAUAUUAUGGUACAGUCGGAAAAAAGGCAAUAAUCCAUUGGCUUUGGUAUUUUCUUAUUGCGGUGUUGAUACUUUUGCCAUUCGAGAUGCGCAUUCCUGCAAGUAGUUUGAUUGUGUGAAAUAAUUAUAAAUUGUAACAUAGACGUUUUAAGAAAGCAUUUAUGAUGAAAUGUUUUGUUACAGUAAA